rnacentral:rRNA from 1 species
CGGGUGAGUAAUGUAUCGGAACGUGCCCAGUAGCGGGGGAUAACUACGCGAAAGCGUAGCUAAUACCGCAUACUAUUGGAGCGGCCGAUAUCGGAUUAGCUAGUUGGUGGGGUAACGGCUCACCAAGGCGACGAUCCGUAGCUGGUUUGAGAGGACGACCAGCCACACUGGGACUGAGACACGGCCCAGACUCCUACGGGAGGCAGCAGUGGGGAAUUUUGGACAAUGGGGGAAACCCUGAUCCAGCCAUCCCGCGUGUGCGAUGAAGGCCUUCGGGUUGUAAAGCACUUUUGGCAGGAAAGCGGUACCUGCAGAAUAAGCACCGGCUAACUACGUGCCAGCAGCCGCGGUAAUACGUAGGGUGCAAGCGUUAAUCGGAAUUACUGGGCGUAAAGCGUGCGCAGGCGGUUCGGAAAGAAAGAUGUGAAAUCCCAGAGCUUAACUUUGGAACUGCAUUUUUAACUACCGGGCUAGAGUGUGUCAGAGGGAGGUGGAAUUCCGCGUGUAGCAGUGAAAUGCGUAGAUAUGCGGAGGAACACCGAUGGCGA